GACGAACGCUGGCGGCGUGCUUAACACAUGCAAGUCGUACGGUAAGGCCCUUUCGGGGGUACACGAGUGGCGAACGGGUGAGUAACACGUGAGUAACCUGCCCACAACUUUGGGAUAACGCUAGGAAACUGGUGCUAAUACUGGAUAUGUGCUCCUGCUGCAUGGUGGGGGUUGGAAAGCUCCGGCGGUUGUGGAUGGACUCGCGGCCUAUCAGCUUGUUGGUGGGGUAGUGGCCUACCAAGGCGGCGACGGGUAGCCGGCCUGAGAGGGUGACCGGCCACAUUGGGACUGAGAUACGGCCCAGACUCCUACGGGAGGCAGCAGUGGGGAAUAUUGCACAAUGGGCGCAAGCCUGAUGCAGCAACGCCGCGUGCGGGAUGACGGCCUUCGGGUUGUAAACCGCUUUCAGCAGGGACGAAGCUUUUUGUGACGGUACCUGAAGAAGAAGCACCGGCUAACUACGU
rnacentral:rRNA from 1 species